rnacentral:ribozyme from 14 species
CUGUUCGGUUACAAUGAAAGCAAAAUAAUAGUAAUAAUAUCUUUUCUUUUUCGAAUCUAAAAAUCCGUCUCUCUUUUAUAAUACAAAUUGAGUAGGAGUGAAAAGCGUCUACAGUAGCAACUAAGAGUUGGGUCGAUGUAUUAGAAUCUUGAUUGCUUAUUUGAGUUGUUGUGCGUUGUGUU